rnacentral:tRNA from 1 species
CGCUGGUUUAGCUCAUCAGGUAGAGCAACUGACUUGUAAUCAGUAGGUGGCGGGUUCGAGUCCUGCAACCAGCGCCAA